rnacentral:rRNA from 1 species
GAUGAACGCUGGCGGCGUGCCUAAUACAUGCAAGUCGAGCGAACGGACGAGAAGCUUGCUUCUCUGAUGUUGGCGGCGGACGGGUGAGUAACACGUGGAUAACCUACCUAUAAGACUGGGAUAACUUCGGGAAACCGGAGCUAAUACCGGAUAAUAUUUUGAACCGCAUGGUUCAAAAGUGAAAGACGGUCUUGCUGUCACUUAUAGAUGGAUCCGCGCUGCAUUAGCUAGUUGGUAAGGUAACGGCUUACCAAGGCAACGAUGCAUAGCCGACCUGAGAGGGUGAUCGGCCACACUGGAACUGAGACACGGUCCAGACUCCUACGGGAGGCAGCAGUAGGGAAUCUUCCGCAAUGGGCGAAAGCCUGACGGAGCAACGCCGCGUGAGUGAUGAAGGUCUUCGGAUCGUAAAACUCUGUUAUUAGGGAAGAACAUAUGUGUAAGUAACUGUGCACAUCUUGACGGUACCUAAUCAGAAAGCCACGGCUAACUACGUGCCAGCAGCCGCGGUAAUACGUAGGUGGCAAGCGUUAUCCGGAAUUAUUGGGCGUAAAGCACGCGUAGGCGGUUUUUUAAGUCUGAUGUGAAAGCCCACGGCUCAACCGUGGAGGGUCAUUGGAAACUGGAAAACUUGAGUGCAGAAGAGGAAAGUGGAAUUCCAUGUGUAGCGGUGAAAUGCGCAGAGAUAUGGAGGAACACCAGUGGCGAAGGCGACUUUCUGGUCUGUAACUGACGCUGAUGUGCGAAAGCGUGGGGAUCAAACAGGAUUAGAUACCCUGGUAGUCCACGCCGUAAACGAUGAGUGCUAAGUGUUAGGGGGUUUCCGCCCCUUAGUGCUGCAGCUAACGCAUUAAGCACUCCGCCUGGGGAGUACGACCGCAAGGUUGAAACUCAAAGGAAUUGACGGGGACCCGCACAAGCGGUGGAGCAUGUGGUUUAAUUCGAAGCAACGCGAAGAACCUUACCAAAUCUUGACAUCCUUUGACAACUCUAGAGAUAGAGCCUUCCCCUUCGGGGGGGCAAAGUGACAGGUGGUGCAUGGUUGUCGUCAGCUCGUGUCGUGAGAUGUUGGGUUAAGUCCCGCAACGAGCGCAACCCUUAAGCUUAGUUGCCAUCAUUAAGUUGGGCACUCUAAGUUGACUGCCGGUGACAAACCGGAGGAAGGUGGGGAUGACGUCAAAUCAUCAUGCCCCUUAUGAUUUGGGCUACACACGUGCUACAAUGGACAAUACAAAGGGCAGCGAAACCGCGAGGUCAAGCAAAUCCCAUAAAGUUGUUCUCAGUUCGGAUUGUGGUCUGCAACUCGACUACAUGAAGCUGGAAUCGCUAGUAAUCGUAGAUCAGCAUGCUACGGUGAAUACGUUCCCGGGUCU